rnacentral:rRNA from 1 species
GACGAACGCUGGCGGCGUGCUUAACACAUGCAAGUCGAACGGAAAGGCCCUGCUCUUGCGGGGUGCUCGAGUGGCGAACGGGUGAGUAACACGUGAGUAACCUCUCCUUGUCUUUGGGAUAACAUCAGGAAACUGGGGCUCAUACCGGAUAGGAUCUCCUGCUGCACGGUGGGGGUUGGAAAGUUUCGGCGGUUGGGGAUGGACUCGCGGCUUAUCAGCUUGUUGGUGGGGUAGUGGUUGACCAAGGGUUUGACGGGUAGCCGGCCUGGGAGGGUGACCGGGCACAUUGGGCCUACGAGAGGCAGCAGUAGGCAAUGGGAGGCAGCAGUCGAGAGCAUUGCGGAGUAGGGCGAAGCCAGAUACGGAGGCGUCGGGAGCGGAAAACCGGCUUAUGGGUGGUAAACAAAUUUCGAAUGUACCGAGGAGUGAGUGACGGUAAUGGGUCAGAAAGCACCGGCUAACUACGUG